AAGGAAAGAGGGAGGCAUGCCUAACACAUGCAAGUCGAACGAGACCUUCGGGUCUAGUGGCGCACGGGUGCGUAACGCGUGGGAACCUGCCCUUAGGUUCGGAAUAACUCCCCGAAAGGGGUGCUAAUACCGGAUAAUGUCUUCGGACCAAAGAUUUAUCGCCUUUGGAUGGGCCCGCGUUGGAUUAGCUAGUUGGUAGGGUAAAAGCCUACCAAGGCGACGAUCCAUAGCUGGUCUGAGAGGAUGAUCAGCCACACUGGGACUGAGACACGGCCCAGACUCCUACGGGAGGCAGCAGUGGGGAAUAUUGGACAAUGGGCGAAAGCCUGAUCCAGCAAUGCCGCGUGAGUGAUGAAGGCCUUAGGGUUGUAAAGCUCUUUUACCCGGGAUGAUAAUGACAGUACCGGGAGAAUAAGCUCCGGCUAACUCCGUG
rnacentral:rRNA from 1 species